rnacentral:snRNA from 1 species
AUCGCUUCUCGGCCUUUUGGCUAAGAUCAAGUGUAGUAUCUGAAAUCAUUAUUAUACACUAUAUGUUAACUUGGAUUUAAAUAAAAUUAAAAAUUUUUUUAAAAGAAAAAAGACUGUAAGGCUC